AUGCCUCCCUUCCUCGUCGUCUUCAUCCUCCUCCUCCUCCACACAACGUCCUCCUCCGCAUCCCCAGAGUGCGACGUCUACGCCCUUGGGAAGCUCAAGGCUUCCCUCGUCACCACCAGCAACGCCACCGCGCUCGGAGACUGGGAUCCGGCCGCGCCCUCGCCUGCACACUGCUCCUUUUCUGGCGUGACCUGCGACGCCGGCGCGCGAGUCGUCGCCAUCAACAUCAUGGCCCUGUCGCUGCACGGCGGGACGCUGCCCCUGGAUCUGGAGCUGUUCGACGCGCUCGCCAACCUCACCAUCGCGGCGUGCGGCCUCCUGGGCCACUUCCCGGCUUCCCUCCACGCUCUCCCGUUUCUGCGCCACCUCAACCUCUCCAACAACAACCUCACCGGCGCGUUACCCUCCGGCCCUGGCCACCGCUACUUCCCGUCCCUCGAGCUCCUGGACGUCUAUAACAACAACUUGUCCGGCCCGCUGCCAUCCUUCGGCGCUGAGCACGCGGUGACCCUCCGAUACCUGCACCUCGGUGGCAACUACUUCUCUGGCGUGAUUCCCGACGAUUACGGCGACUUGGACAAACUCGAGUACAUCAACCUCGCCGCCUACUGCCUCUCCGGCCUCGUGCCGGCGUCUCUAGGGAGGCUCAAGCGGCUGCGGGAGAUGUACAUGGGCUACUACAACCAGUUCGACGGCGGCAUCCCGGCAGAGUUCGGGGACCUGGAGGCGCUCGUGCUGCUCGACAUGAGCAGCUGCUGCCUCACAGGCCCCAUACCGCCAGAGCUCGGCCAGCUUAAGCUGCUCAACACGCUCUAUAUGUUUCUGAACUGGCUGUCUGGGGAUAUACCGCCGGCACUGGGGGAGCUGAAGAAUCUUGCAUCGCUGGACCUCUCUAUGAACGAGCUCUACGGCAAAAUACCAGCGAGUCUGGCCAAGCUUACAAACCUGAAGCUUCUUAACCUUUUUGGGAACUACCUCCAUGGCGUAAUACCGGAGUUCGUCGCCGACCUGCUGAACCUUGAGGUGCUGCAGCUCUGGGACAACAAUUUCUCCGGUCAUCUCCCAGCUGGACUUGGCAAGAACGGCCGUCUCAAGAAGCUGAACGUGGGCAACAACAAUCUCUCCGGUCAUCUCCCAGCCGGGCUUCGCAAUUACAGUCUCAAGACGCUGGACGUGUCCUACAACCACCUCACCGGUCAUCUCCCACCAGACAUCUGCACAAGCGGGAACUUGGAGAAGCUCGUGCUCAUGGAGAAUGUCUUCUUUGGACCCAUCCCCGUGUCGCUCGGCGACUGCAAAAUGCUCCGGCAUGUCUACCUGAAUAACAACUUUCUCAGCGGUCCAAUCCCUUGA
rnacentral:rRNA from 1 species